rnacentral:lncRNA from 1 species
ACGUUACUGUCCGAGUUCCUAUUGUUGUUUUCAUCUUGUUCGUGAUGCGACUCGCUCGAUUUUGGCUUAAAGGUCUUGUACGAUUUUCAAGAGUCGAAGAAAAUUUCAGAACUCCUUUUGAGGUCCCUCUCUCUUUAUUAUUUUCAUGUGUUAUGCUAAUUGCAUCAUGAUGGCUUAAUGUUCUCCAUUUAUAUAUGUUCAGUCAAAUUUCUCAUUUUAAUUAACUAUUGUGAAUAGAGCAUAAUUUAUGCUAAGUGAAUCAAUUCAUGAACUAUUGGUUUAAGUUGGAUUAAGGGGCAGUGGAUUGAUAAACUCUGGAAAAGAAAUGUUGGCCAAGAAUAGUGAAAUGGAUAUGGGAUCUAGAGUUGGAAGUUAAAAGUAGCAGAAUUGAGAUUUUAGUACU